GGCCAGUCCUUUAGAUAGUGAGUUUGGACGUGUGACAAAUAGAUGGCGUGAAAGAAUGUUGUUUGUUGUGUCAGAUAUGGGCUUAUGGCGGCUCGUUGCCAAAAGUUCAGAUAGCUACAGCUAUUUUCUUCGAAAAUUACCAAUGAAUUCGUUGGAGAAAAUGUGAAAGAUGCAUGAAGCCUGUACUGUCAACUAUUGUGUUAAAAAUCCUGGUAUCCUACUGAAUAUGUCAUCCAAAUGACAGAGUGGAUUCAUAUCACUAUUAUCGGCUGAAUCAUUCUAUGGAACUUGCCAGAUCACCAACCCCACGCAUGGACCAAUCUCUCAUUCCAUCUUCUAGAGAACCUUGGAUAACUGAUUGGUGGUUUAGUGUGUUCUUAGGUUUCUAAUGUUGCAUGCAUUUUAUGAGAAGUCACUGUCCAUUGAAGAAAAAGGACUGACUAUACAGUCAAGGUAACCUGUUGGCUGCUACCCUUGAAUAUCCCAUUUUACUUUAUGAAAGUGUAAACGGGCCAUCUUGAUUUGAGGGUAACUCCUUCGCUGCUUAUCGUGGACUUCAUUCAUUGGUGAAAACCAAUGACAAUCAGGAGGAAAAGAGUGCGCUGGUCGAACGGGGACUUCCAGUCGGAAGCCUACUUUAUGAUUAAUCGCUCUGGUAGUAACUGUUCCUCAACUCUUCGCUCUUUUUCCGGUUUCUCCUACCAUCUCCCUGCCUGCAGUCAAUUAAGGCAGUGUCUCCCCCUGUCUUGAUUGACUCCAUGUGCGAAUUUUAAAAGCAGUUGAUCACCCAAAUGAGAAAAAAGAGUUAGGUUUGUUUUAUUUGGGUAAAAAUUGUUUUAAAACUUGUAGCUUGUACCUAUAAAACA
rnacentral:lncRNA from 1 species